rnacentral:rRNA from 1 species
UACAGGGGGGGCAAGCGUUGUUCGGAAUUACUGGGCGUAAAGGGCUCGUAGGCGGCCAACUAAGUCCGACGUGAAAUCCCAAAGCUUAACUUUGGAACUGCGUCGGAUACUGGAUGGCUUGAAUUCGGGAGAGGGAUGCAGAAUUCCAGGUGUAGCGGUGAAAUGCGCAGAUAUCGGGAAGAACACCCGUGGCGAAGGCGGUUCUCUGGGACGGUACUGACGCUGAGACGCGAAAGCGUGGGGAGCGAACAGG